rnacentral:rRNA from 1 species
GACGAACGCUGGCGGCGUGCUUAACACAUGCAAGUCGAGCGGAAAGGCCCUUCGGGGUACUCGAGCGGCGAACGGGUGAGUAACACGUGAGUAAUCUACCCCAGGCUCUGGGAUAGCCACCGGAAACGGUGAUUAAUACCGGAUACGACAACCGAUUGCAUGAUCUGGUUGUGGAAAGUUUUUCGGCCUGGGAUGUGCUCGCGGCCUAUCAGCUUGUUGGUGAGGUAAUGGCUCACCAAGGCUUCGACGGGUAGCCGGCCUGAGAGGGUGACCGGCCACACUGGGACUGAGACACGGCCCAGACUCCUACGGGAGGCAGCAGUGGGGAAUAUUGGACAAUGGGCGGAAGCCUGAUCCAGCAACGCCGCGUGAGGGAUGACGGCCUUCGGGUUGUAAACCUCUUUCAGCACAGACGAAGCGCAAGUGACGGUAUGUGCAGAAGAAGGACCGGCCAACUACGUGCCAGCCGCCGCCGUAAGAC